UCCCCUAGUAACGGCGAGUGAAGAGGGAAUAGCCCAGCACCGAAGCCUGCGGCAGUUUUGCUGUUAGGCAAUGUGGUGUUUAGGCCGGCUCGCGGGACUGCUGCUCCAUUCUAAGUCCAGCUUUGAGUAUGGCUUCUGGACUUGGCCCAUAGAGGGUGAAAGGCCCGUUCGAAUGGAGGAUAAGAUAAGUGAGCAGUUCACCAUGUCGGUCUUCGAGUCGGGUUGUUUGAGAAUGCAACCCAAAGCGGGUGGUAAACUCCAUCCAAGGCUAAAUACUAGCACGAGUCCGAUAGCGAACAAGUACCGUGAGGGAAAGUUGAAAAGUACUUUGAAGAGAGAGUAAACAGUACGUGAAACCGCAUAGAGGUAAACGGGUGGCGUCAAGCUGCAAGCCUAGAGGAUUCAGUCGGUCAGGAUUUUAUUUAUGCGCCUGGCGCAUUUAUCAGUCAGAGUAAGAUAUGGUAGUCCACUGGGCAACAGUGGGCCUGGCCGUAAGGUCGGGAUUUGCGUUCCGUUUUUGUGUCGCGGAGCUUGCUACCUAUCUAGGGACUGUCUGGCCGAUGCACUUUCUCUAUGGUGAACACCACGACCGGUGGUACUGCCAGUCUGCUGUAACCAAGUCGGGGUCGGUCGGCAUCUGAUGUCGGUUGGUCUUCGAUCAUAUGCAAAUUCAGUGGACGGUGUUCGGGUGUUUACGCAUUCGUUCAUGUUAUCGGACACUGGUUGUCAACGGGUCUGUCUGUCGACGAUUGUAGUA
rnacentral:rRNA from 1 species